rnacentral:lncRNA from 12 species
AUGUUCACGGGGCGCCCAUCCACGGGGACGCCGUCGUACUGCUUCUGGCUUUCAGGGCAUCUGCCUUCCGUUCAAAGUGCACAUCGGCUGUUCCUAAACUGCGCCCGGAGCGGUCAUGCUGUACAGCUGCCUUCUUCAGAGUUCCGGAUUCAGCAAAGAGUUCCUGAAUAUCCGUGUCCGACACUCCGAAAUCUAUCUACCCAUCUACCCAUCAGCUAUCAGCUACCCAUCGUCUAUCUCUCUAUCCAUCAUCUAUCCAGCAUCUAUCAUCUAUCUAUUACCUAUCUACCUAUCAUCAUUAUCUAUCAUCUAUCAUCUAUUAUCAUCUAUCAUCUAUCUACCUACCUAUCUGUCAUUAAUCUACCCAUCUAUCAAUCUACCUACCUAUCACCUAUCUGCCUAUCAUCAUUAUCUACCAUCUAUCAUCUAUCUAUGCAUCUAUUUAUCAUCUAUCUACCUAUCAUCUAUUUAUCUAUCAUCUAUCUAUUUACCUAUCAUCUAUCAUCCAUUAUCUAUCAUCUAUCUAUCCAUCUAUCUAUCCAUCCAUCUACCUACCUACCAUCUAUCAUCCAUUAUCUAUCCAUCCAUCCAUCUAUCUACCACCUACCAUCUAUCUCUCUAUCUGUCUGUCUACCAUCUAUCAUCUCUCUAUGUAUCAUCUAUCUAUACCGAGGGUGGCUUCUCCCUUCACACCGAGCGGAUGACGAGGCGUGUGAAGCACGGCCCAACAGAAGGAUUUCCCUUCCCUCCUGUCCUCAGCGCUCCCCAAGUGGUGCUACGGUAGACCAGUGGUCCGUUUUCAGCUGUGGCACCAACAUACCACGCCAACCCAUGUGUGAACCAGCCCGGGCCCCCUGCUUCCUUGUCGGCUGGUCACAGGAAACACCCCAACACAGGUGUGUGUUGACAGGGUGUGGACAGCCACCCACCAUACAAUACGGGAGUGAGUCGAGGCCACCUGGUUAUGUGACGUGCAUACGCCUUUCAGAUCUCCCUGUGCCCAUCCCAAAUACACCCUUUCCAUACAUUGCCAUCAAAUAA